rnacentral:miRNA from 1 species
UGGCCCAUGAUAGGCCCACAGAU